UGCAUAUGCAGGAAAGGAUGCACGUUGU
rnacentral:piRNA from 1 species